rnacentral:rRNA from 1 species
UACGAAGGGGGCUAGCGUUGCUCGGAAUCACUGGGCGUAAAGCGCACGUAGGCGGCUUGUUAAGUCAGGGGUGAAAUCCUGGAGCUCAACUCCAGAACUGCCUUUGAUACUGGCAAGCUUGGAGUCCGGGAGAGGUGAGUGGAACUGCGAGUGUAGAGGUGAAAUUCGUAGAUAUUCGGAAAGAACACCAGUGGCGAAGGCGGCUCACUGGCC